rnacentral:rRNA from 1 species
UACGUAGGGGGCGAGCGUUGUCCGGAAUCAUUGGGCGUAAAGCGCGUGUAGGCGGCCCGGUAAGUCCGCUGUGAAAGUCCAGGGCUCAACCCUGGAAUGCCGGUGGAUACUGUCGGGCUCGAGUCCGGAAGAGGCGAGUGGAAUUCCUGGUGUAGCGGUGAAAUGCGUAGAUAUCUGGAGGAACACCGGUGGCGAAGGCGGCAUCCUGGACCGGUAUUGACGCUGAGGAGCGAAAGCCAGGGAGCAACGGG